UAAGGCUCUAGAUCAGGGAGAACCAAUGCAGGAAGACGAGUGUUGAAGAUUCACAUCGUAGGAUAAAUCUGGUCUGGUUCAAAGGUAACUUGUGGUGUAUGCAAACCAAGGUUAAGUGAUGCCUCAAGUAAUUGUAAAAUAUCAAGAGGCAUCAAAGGGGGGAAUGAGGUGGAAUCUCGGUAAAAAUAAAUUUAGUAGGCCGAGAUUACCACGUGGCAUGUGUACGUGCAUAUGCUGACGUAUCG